rnacentral:rRNA from 1 species
GACGAACGCUGGCGGCGUGCUUAACACAUGCAAGUCGAACGGUGAAGCUCCAGCUUGCUGGAGUGGAUCAGUGGCGAACGGGUGAGUAACACGUGAGCAACCUGCCCCUGACUCUGGAAUAAGCGCUGGAAACGGCGUCUAAUACUGGAUACGAGAAGGGUCCGCAUGGGCACUUUCCGGAAAGUUUUUCGGUUGGGGAUGGGCUCGCGGCCUAUCAGCUUGUUGGUGAGGUAAUGGCUCACCAAGGCGACGACGGGUAGCCGGCCUGAGAGGGCGACCGGCCACACUGGGACUGAGACACGGCCCAGACUCCUACGGGAGGCAGCAGUGGGGAAUAUUGCACAAUGGGCGAAAGCCUGAUGCAGCGACGCCGCGUGAGGGAUGACGGCCUUCGGGUUGUAAACCUCUUUCAGCAGGGAAGAAGCGAAAGUGACGGUACCUGCAGAAGAAGCACCGGCUAACUACGUG